GCCAGUUUGGCUCAGUGGAUAGAGCAUCAGCCUGUGGACUGAAUGGUGCUGGGUUCAAUUCCGGUCAAGGGCA
rnacentral:tRNA from 1 species